UACGUAGGGUGCAAGCGUUAAUCGGAAUACUGGGCGUAAGCGUGCGCAGGCGGUGAUGUAAGACAGUUGUGAAAUCCCCGGGCUCAACCUGGGGAACUGCAUCUGUGACUGCAUCGCUGGAGUGCGGCAGAGGGGGAUGGAAUUCCGGCGUGUAGCAGUGAAAUGCGUAGAUAUGCGGAGGAACACCGAUGGCGAAGGCAAUCCCCUGGGCCUGCACGUGACCGCUCAUGCACGAAAGCGUGGGAAGCAACAGG
rnacentral:rRNA from 1 species